rfam:Schistosoma rodhaini strain Burundi genome assembly, scaffold: SROB_scaffold0000195
AUCCAGCUGACGGGUCAUAAAUAGGACGAAACGCUCAUCCUGGAU